rnacentral:rRNA from 1 species
AUGGUGUCGGCCACCAAACUAGAAGGUGGAUAUUGUUUUCACAGCAAGAACUCUCCUCUCGAUCAACCUGAAGGUGUGAAGAUACAUCUUUACCGUCUUGGAAUAGAACAGUGUGAACAUGAUACCCUCAAAAGCUUUGCAUGUGCUGGUGAAGGCAGCCCAAGUUUACUUGAUACAAUCAUUCUUUCUCAGUGGGAGAACUUUGCUCAGAAGGGCCAGUUGGGAUAUGAUGUUACUACUUGCGAACUUAAGGUCAUUGAAGGUCAAAGGGAUUUUGUUAUUCAGAUGAAUGAUAAAUGGAAUUCAUUUUCCCUCAUGAAAUAUGACAAGUUCGGCCAUCCUUUCGGAUGCUUGAAGCCAAAUUCUGCUAGAAGCUACGAGGAAUUACUUUUGUGCAUCGCAGAAGGAGAAAAUAAUGAACCGGAGGUUGUUCCUUCGAUUACACCCCCAAACAAUGGAGUACUGCUGAUUGCGAAUGCAUAUCCUGUUGAAUAUGGUCACAUUUUCUUGGUCCCAAAUGCAACUAAUCAGCUAUCUUCCUUUUGGGAUAAAAGGAUGUUUGGGCUGAUUACAAAGAUUGCCUCUGAAGUAAACAGUGCAGCGUUCCGGGUUUUCUUUGAUGAUGGUACAUCUAUUGUGCCAAAGCACAUGUUUUUUCAGGCCUGUUACUUUGCCAAUCCUUUACCAGUGGAGUCUUCCUCAACUGUUGCAUUAUAUGAUGGGGCAACCAGAUCAGGCAUUUGUGUGUCUGAAAUAGUUGAUUACCCUCUAAAAGCACUUGUGUUCACGAGCACCAAUGUAAAUACACUUGUCGAUGUAGUGAGUGAAGCAUGCUUGGCUUUGCAUGAGAACAAUACUGUGCACAGCCUAAUGAUGUCCAACAACGGCAGAAAUGUUUUCUUAUUCCCCCAGGUGAAAAAUCUGGUCACUGGCUGCUGUCUUUCUGCUUGGGAGUGCUGUGGCUACUUUGUUUAUCACACCAAAGUUGAUUUCGACCGAGCUUCUGAGACCGGAAUUUCCAAUAGGAUGGCUUCGUUCUCGUUCCAAGAUGGUGACUUUGAAGACCUGAAGAAACUCUGCUGCGCUAUAGCUGAUAGCCUUGUUACCUAA